UCCCCAGUGACUCAGACGGUAAAGUGUCUGCCUACAAUGCAGGAGACCCGGGUUCAACCCCUGGGUCGGAAA
rnacentral:tRNA from 1 species